rnacentral:rRNA from 1 species
GACGAACGCUGGCGGCGUGCUUAACACAUGCAAGUCGAACGAAGUGGCGAACGGGUGAGUAACGCGUAAUCAACCUGCCCUUCCGAGGGGGACAACACGUGGAAACGAAUGCUAAUACCGCAUACUGAAGGAGGGGAUUGAUUCUGAUGAGCUAGUUGGAGGGGUAACGGCCGCCCAGGGCGAUGAUCAGUAGCCUGUCUGAGAGGAUGAACGGGCACAUUGGGAAUGAGACACGUCCCAGACUCCUACGGGAGGCAGCAUGGGGGAAUCUUCCGCAAUGGACGAAAGGCUGACGGAGCAACGCCGCGUGAGUGAUGACGGCCUUCGGGUUGUAAAGCUCUUUUAAUCGGGACGCGGUACCGGAAUAGAAAGCAACGGCUAACUACGUGCCAGCAGCCGCGGUAAUUC